AUGGAAGAAGCGUCGCGAGCCACCGCCCUUGCCAACGCACCGAGACUCAGCUCGGGUAGCAUUGGGCAGGCCGGUGAUGUUGGGCUGCUCGCUAUCAAAGAUGCCCGCGUUUCUCUGCUUGAGGAGGUCUUUUUGAGUAACAUGGAUGAUAAAGACCCUAACAGGAAACGAGGUGCAGUGUCCGAGAAGCCUACCACCCCGGACGGUGUGCAGGGUGGGGCAGCAUAUGAAGUGGGUAAUUUAGUGCAUCAAGUUCAGUCCUUGGGGAAUGCAGCUGCUGUUGUGCCGCCGAGCCCAUCUGCAAAAAGAGAUCCAAAGCAUACCAACUCAUCAUCAUCUGGAGAAACAAAGGAUGACAACACAUCAACCAACUCAUCAUCGGCGGAAAGUGACCUCCCUUUGUCAUGUUGGGGAGACUUUAAUGAAGUUCUCAGGCAAGAUGAGCAUGUUGAAGUAGGGCAAAGAACUCAGGCUCAAAUAAGGGGUUUUAGGGAGGCUGUAGAUGAGUGCAGCUCGUGUGAUCUUGGGUAUGUUGGCAGAAGCUGGACUUUUGAGAAAAAAGUUGCAGGAGGUGGCUAUACGCGAGUCAGGCUGGACAGGUCCCUAGCUACUGUUGACUGCAGAAACAUCUGUCGGCUGCUUCAGACCAUGGUCCUAUUCUGCUGUCUUUGGACCAUCCCCAACACAAUCAGGGACGAGCUACUCGAAAUAUUCCAAUUCGUGUUGGCCGUCAAGGGAGGAGACGAAGGCCCUGAACAGGUUGAUGUAAUUUUAUCAUCGCGAGGAGACUAUGUGGCGACAAGGGUCUAG
rnacentral:rRNA from 1 species